GUGAAUCAUCAAAUUUUUGAACGCAAAUUGCACUCCCUGGUAUUCCGGGGAGUAUGCCUGUUUGAGGGUCGCCUAAAUAAACAUCGAUUCAUUGCUUUUUUUUUUGGAAAAAAAAGUAAAUGUUAUCGGAUCUGAGCCUUCUUUUUUUUUUUUUUAUUUUAAAGUGGUUUAAAUUUUUUUUGGGGUUUGAAAAACGUAAUUUAGGAUUAAC
rnacentral:misc_RNA from 1 species